UUUGGUCUUCAUCCUGAUGUGACAGGAACCAAAAAUUCUAUGUUCAAAUUUGCCAGCAGUUUUUCCUCAUUACCAGAAGUUGGACCCUGACAUGGUUGAAACCAAAAAAAUUUCCAUUUUGGAUUUGCCUGAGUCCUCAGCUGGGUCCUUGGGGGAGAGAGGCAGCGGGUGCUGGCCUAGAGGAGCAGAGUGAGAGACAGCAAAGCCAACAGGAUGGAGUUGGAGAACAAGGUCUUACGCCCAUGGAGCCCCUGGAAUGCGAGAGUGGGGCUGGGGGCAGUGAUGGAUUACUUGGGAAAGCGUGACCUAAAGGGCUGGAAAACACCGGACGCCGAGAGUACACAAGACAUCCCUGAUGCAAGCAGUACCCCAGUUUUCUUUUGGGGAACCAGUAGCUUGUGAAGGGCUACCCACAUCUCCUGGCUCCACAAGCAAGCAUGUGACCCAGGCCUAGAUAACAAGAGUGACAUAACCACCUGUCACGGUGACCUCAGAGAGGGUCAUGGAGUCUGGCAGGCCAGCCUCGGUUAACCCUGGGACCUGCGGGCUAUGCUAUCAGUAAAGAAGGGCUCUCCACCUGCAGGACCACUCCACUGGAGGAAGUCAGCCUGAGCUCCGGCGACUACCUUUGCCCCCAAGCAGGACCAUGCCAGGUCAAGAGAGGGAGAGACAUAGUUUUCUUAUGGGAGCCCGGCUAUACCUGAAGCUGUCCCUGGAAUUCACUGCCUAAGCCACUUUGAGGAUUUCCUGUCACUGACAACUAAGAGGCCAGAAUAAGGGUAUCCUUUUAGCAACAGCAUUAAAAAAAAAAUGA